GCCUGGGUGGCUCAGUCAGUUAAGCGUCUGACUUCGGCUCAGGUCAUGAUCUCACAGUUCGUGGGUUUGAGCCCCACAUUGGGCU
rnacentral:tRNA from 1 species